rnacentral:rRNA from 1 species
AUAAUCUAACGUAAGGUCACUGACACUUAUAUAUUACUUUACUAUCCUAUCAUUAUUUUUAUUUUGUUAAAUUAUUUUAAACUUUUGCUUCCGAGUAAUUUAUUGAGGAGAGUAGUUUUAUUUAUUAUAUAUUCAUUUAUUAUAUAAUAGGAAGAUAGUCUGGAAGUCUAUAAGAAUAAUGAUAUACCCUUACUAAUAGUGUCGUCCAAAACCUGGUGCCAGCAGACUCGGUAACACCAGAGACGCGAACGUUAAUCAUCUUAAAUGGGCAUAAAGGGUUUGUAGGCAGCUUUAAUUUAUUAAAGAUAGAAUCUAAUAGAGGUUUAUAGAAUGCUUAGUGUAGGGCUAAUAUCCGCAAAUUCUAAGUGGACUACUAGAGGCGAAGGCGAUACUCCUUAAAAGAUUGACGCUGAGAAACGAGGGUUGGGAUCGGAAAUAGGAUGUGCGACCAGCAAAGCUUUUUUAUUUAUUGCCAAUAUAAUUGGUCUUAGUUUUUCAUCUGACAAGAGCUCACUAUAAUAGGCGAAAAGUGUAAACUUUUGGUCUAAAGCUUAUAGAUUUAGUAGUGACCUACUAAAUAUUACAGAGCUGUCUUCUAUGGUUAGAGAGAUCGAAUCUAUGUAAAUAAAGCUGUUAAAAUUAGAACUUUAGCGUGUCCUAGGCUAAAGUUAGAUGAACAAAUAACAAAUAGUUUUAACAGAAAAGUAGAAACCUAAGGAAGACUAUUACGUAUUUAAAAAGGAACUGGGUAACUCCUAUAACCUGCGAUGAUUACUGUUUAUAAUUUUAUCGCAAAAGAGGGGCAGUAAUGCCCCUCCCAAUAGGGUUAGGAGGGAAAUAAGGACAGCGUUAAAAGCCAAAUGGCUAUNNNNNCUUCAACUUCAAAGGGAGAGAUAUGCUAGAUUACGAUUUGGUAUUUUAAAUAAAUUAAAUAGAGUUGAUAGUUUAGAUGCUUAUAGUAAAUUUCUUGAAACCUCAUAUAUACCUGCUGCUAUAGAUAAAACUUAUUUAAAAAGUGUUGCUUUUGAUAAUUGAAUAAUAGGUUUUAUUAAUGGUGAAGGUUGUUUUAAUAUACAUAGUAAAAAGAAACAUUUAAUUUUUUAUAUAGAACACACAGAUAGAAAUUCGUUAGUAUAUAUUAAAAACAGAUUAAAUUUGAGUCCAUCUAUUACUUAUAGAGAAGCAAGAAGCGAUAGAAGACAACCUACUGUCAGAGGUCGUGUUGUUUAUAUCUUCUAAAAAAGAUACUAAAAAUAUAAUAGAAUUCUGUAAUUCCAAUUAUUUGUCACCUUUAGCAGGAAAUAAGUAUGACCAAUUUAAAACUUGAGUUGCUUGAUAUGAGCAACGAUAUGAGGUGGAUAUAACUGAUACCCUUUCGGAGAGACAGAAAUAGAAAACUAAAAAUCCCUCCUCCGUCGAGAGACUCAGGGGAGCGGAGGGCAUCAGCAUAACAAAAAUAUAAAUAUUUCUAUAAACAAUAAACAGCGUCAACUGUUUAAUUAUUAACAACAUAAUAAUUGCUUGAGCCGUAUGCGGUGAAAGUCGCACGUACGGUUCUUAGAGGGGGAAAGCCUGAGAGGGCCUACCUAUCUCAAUUAGAGACCCUAGUACCCCCAACUGUAAACGAUGAAUGGAAGAUAUUUAUCUUGGUAAGUAUCGAAGUGAACUACGAUAACCAUUCCGCCUUGCAAGUAUACUUGCAAAAGUGAAAGCAAAAAAAUUA